UUGUUGGGGGGUGGGAAUUGGGCCCAUGGGCUCGGGGGGGCCCUGUGCCCCACCCCCGGACUACGUUUUGUCAGAACCCAUUGACUAAAUGCUUCUGGCACAGCGGAAACUCCCAGCACAGCAAAAAGCCCCGCCAAGCCCAACGGCUGCAAUCGUUUAAGUUUCAACAAGUCCUGGUGAUUGGCUGACCGUGCGCGCCACCCAUUGGCCGGUUACAAAUUAAUCCCACUUGGCAACUAGUAAUUGGCUUACUAGCUAUAUAAAAGUAAAAUCAGUUUCCGCCCUCGUUGGAGAACUCCGCACGCGUCUUGGAGUAAACUUGGCGGACUGACCACCCACCAACAACCCCCCGUCACCGACUUUCCUGACGUACCCCGUCCCUGGUACCACGAUAAGCCGAUUACAGAACGUCUCGUCUCGUCUCGUCUCGUCUCGAUACCCCGUCGCGUUCCAGAGAGCGCUCGCUGCGUUUGUAACUGCAACUGUGGUGGGAGAAAACUCCCUGGGGUUCAUUGUCUAGCUGCAUAGGAACCAGACAACCACGGGUCCGGAACCCAAGACGCACGACGGUCGUAGACCCACACCGAAGGGAAGAGCGACACCGCGAACACUGAGACGCCGACGCGUGACAUCGCCAUGACACCUGACCACACCGUCAUACUCGGACUACUCGUAAUUAGCUCAAUCCUAUUAACUCUCUCAGCAGAUGUAGAAACCCGCAUGCUUCCAAAUGUCUCAAUACCCUUAAAUAAAAAAAUCGAGUCGAUGCGAAAAAUCGCCGCCAACGUGAACAAAAUCUCAGGUAUCGGACAAGGGUGGCUAUCUGACCUAUUCAAUUGGUUUGGCUAAGACGCAUCCUCACGGUUUUUACACCUCUUAACCCCCCUUAUUACCUUGUUAAUGCCUCUUUUUAGUAUUGGUAUUUGUGUAUGUGUUAGUUGUUGUUUUAUACAAUACCUUAAAAACAAACUUAUUUCGCUAUCUGCUUUUGUAUAUACCCGCUUGCCAUAUGAACCCCCCGAACAAGACGACGAAGACGUAAUUGGCUUAUAAGCAUAAUAGUUCCGACUGUGCCAUUGGCAAGGGGGCAUGUCAGAACCCAUUGACUAAAUGCCUCUGGCACAGUGGAAAAUCCCAGCACAGCAAAAAGCCCCGCCAAGUUCAAUGGCUGCAAUCGUUUAAGUUUCAACAAGUCCUCGUGAUUGGCUGACCAUGCGCACCACCCAUUGGCCGGCUACAAAUUAAUCCCACUUGGCAACUAGUAAUUGGCUUACUAGCUAUAUAAAAGUAAAAGCAGUUUCCGCCCUCGUUGGAGAACUCCGCACGCAUCUCGGAGUAAACUUGGCGGACUGAUCACCCACCAACAACUCCCCGUCACCGACUUUCCUGACGUACCCCUUCCCUGGUACCACGAUAAGCCGAUUACGAACGUCUCGUCUCGUCUCGCCUCGAUACCCUCUCGCGUUCCAGAGAGCACUCGCCAGGUUUGUAACGGCAACCAAAGUCAGCGUUCUGCCUACGCUGUGCGCAUCAGCGGCGUAAGUAAACCAUCUAUUUUUACCAG